UUUCCGUAGGUGAACCUGCGGAAGGAUCAUUAAUGAGUUGUCAUGGGGUUCGAUGCUGGCAGCCAGUUCUUGGAUGCAUGUGCUUGCCCUAACAAUCAUCUUCUUCCAAACACCUGUGCACAUUUUUGAGGGAGUCUUGAGUUGGUUGCCGCUCUGGGGUGAUUUUCUCACAUUCCCUUAAAUCAUUAUACGCUAUUAACAAUGCUGAACGUGCUCUGUGCCGCAAGGCCAUUAAUAUAAUACAACUUUUAACAACGGAUCUCUUGGCUCUC
rnacentral:misc_RNA from 1 species